ensembl:lncRNA
GGGAAGUGGAGGUAGAGAGAUGGAUAAAGAGGGAGAGAAAGAGAGAGGGAUAGAGAGAGAGAGGAAGGGAAGUAGAGGUAGAGAGAUGUGGAUUGUGAGGGGGCAGAGAGAGAGAGAGAGAGCCAGAGAGAGAGAGGGAUAGAGAGGGGACACAAAUAAAGAUAGAAGGUAGAGAAGGAGAAGAGAGAGAGGAAGGGAAGUGGAGGUAGAGAGAUGGAGAGAGGGAUAGAGAGAUGGAGAGAGAGGGAUAGAGAGGGGAUACAGAUGAAGAUAGAAGGUAGAGAAGGAGAAGAUGAGAGAGAGGAAGGGAGGAAGUGGAGGAAGAGAGAUGUGGAUUGUGAGGGGGGAGGGGCCUGCAGACAGAGAUAGAAGAGAGAGAAUAUAAGAGGGAGAGAGAAGGAGGGGUAAGACUGAGAGAGAGUGAUGGAGAGAAAGAGAAGAGGAGGGUAUUUACUUAUAUAAGAUAAAGAUGACUUGACUUGACCAUAAUGGACCUCACGGUGCCCCUCUUUUCA